rnacentral:lncRNA from 1 species
CACUGUGUACAGUAUGUACUGUCCUCUGUUGAGGCUACAGGAAAUAUAAAGCACACUGUCCUACUGUCCUCUGAGGCUACAGGAAAUAUAAAGCACUGUGUACAGUAUGUUACUGUCCUCUGAGGCUACAGGAAAUAUAAAGACACAGUGUCCUACUGUCCUCUGAGGCUACAG